rnacentral:rRNA from 1 species
GACGAACGCUGGCGGCGUGCUUAACACAUGCAAGUCGAACGGUGAAGGGGCCUGCUUUUGUGGGUCCUGGAUGAGUGGCGAACGGGUGAGUAACACGUGAGUAACCUGCCCCCUUCUUCUGGAUAACCGCAUGAAAGUGUGGCUAAUACGGGAUAUUCUGGGUCUGUCGCAUGGUGGGCCUGGGAAAGAUUGCGCUUUUUUUGGUGUUUUUGGUGGGGGAUGGGCUCGCGGCCUAUCAGCUUGUUGGUGGGGUGAUGGCCUACCAAGGCGGUGACGGGUAGCCGGCCUGAGAGGGUGGACGGUCACACUGGGACUGAGACACGGCCCAGACUCCUACGGGAGGCAGCAGUGGGGAAUAUUGCACAAUGGGCGCAAGCCUGAUGCAGCGACGCCGCGUGAGGGAUGGAGGCCUUCGGGUUGUGAACCUCUUUCGCCAGUGAAGCAGGCCUGCCUCGUUUGUGGGUGGGU